rnacentral:rRNA from 1 species
GACAGAGGUGCCGAGCGUUAGGCGGAAUCACUGGGCUUAAAGCGUGUGUAGGCGGACUUCUAAGUACCUUGUGAAAUCCCACGGCUCAACCGUGGAACUGCUUGGUAUACUGGUUGUCUUGAGCCACUUAGGGGCAGUCGGAACAGACGGUGGAGCGGUGAAAUGCGUAGAUAUCGUCUGGAACGCCAAAGGUGAAAACAGACUGCUGGGCCGACACUGACACUGAGAGACGAAAGCUAGGGGAGCAAAUGGG